UACGUAGGGUGCGAGCGUUGUCCGGAAUUAUUGGGCGUAAAGAGCUCGUAGGCGGUCUGUCGCGUCGGAUGUGAAAACUCGGGGCUCAACCCCGAGCCUGCAUUCGAUACGGGCAGACUAGAGUUCGGUAGGGGAGACUGGAAUUCCUGGUGUAGCGGUGAAAUGCGCAGAUAUUAGGAGGAACACCGGUGGCGAAGGCGGGUCUCUGGGCCGAUACUGACGCUGAGGAGCGAAAGCGUGGGGAGCGAACAGG
rnacentral:rRNA from 1 species